rnacentral:rRNA from 1 species
UACAGAGGGGGCAAGCGUUAUUCGGAAUUAUUGGGCGUAAAGGGCUCGUAGGCGGCCAACUAAGUCAGACGUGAAAUCCCUCGGCUUAACCGGGGAACUGCGUCUGAUACUGGAUGGCUUGAGAUUGGGAGAGGGAUGCGGAAUUCCAGGUGUAGCGGUGAAAUGCGUAGAUAUCUGGAGGAACACCGGUGGCGAAGGCGGCAUCCUGGACCAACACUGACGCUGAGGAGCGAAAGUGUGGGGAGCGAACAGG